CCGAGAAGAAGGUGCUGCAAAAAUUGGAUCUGCCUAUCGACAGAGGGGAAUAUCCUGCCUCGUCACCCACAUGGAAGCCAAAGCCACUAUGAAGAACUUCCUUCUGAACAGUGCCCCAGUGAGCGGAUCGGUUACAGAAAGAAAUGUUUUUUCAUCUCCGAAGAGGAGAAAAACUGGACAUCUAGUCAGACCUUCUGUGCUAAGGAUGGAUCUUUGCUUGCUGUUUUUGAAAACCAGCAAGAAAUGGUAAUGGGAUAAGAAAACAAAACAGAACUUCCAUGUCUCUCUCUUCCUUUGACCGUGAUCUACAUCUAUCUCAAUUUUUCAUGCAAUGCUUUGCCUUUAAAUCUUUGUAAAAUAACCAAGUUAUGUGAAUUCAGGUAGUGAAAAGUACUGGAUUUGUCGAUGUACAUAGCUGGUUGGCUGUCUGGCUGCAGCAAGUGCAACAGCAGUGCAAGCUUCCCCAUACUGCUUUUGCACCUCGAUUUGACUUGAAUAACUAUGGAAAGCUCUUUUUAUGAACUGAAUCUUUUGCCUAGUUUUCUUUUUCUGUCCUAUGGAACUUUUUCU
rnacentral:lncRNA from 1 species